rnacentral:sRNA from 2 species
AAUACUUAAUUGCCGAGUUCUAUAUUAUCCAUUUUAAUAGAUGGAUAUAUAGAAACGGGGGACCCAUUUUUGGGGUGAAUCCGGUCUUCAAUCUACAUUGGAGACUGGUAGGGUUACUCUUUCAACCCGAAUCCGACAGCUAACCUCGUAGGCAUUUUAGAAAGAGGGA